rnacentral:lncRNA from 1 species
UUCUUUGCAAGUGUUUAUAUUAUUACAAUCUGUAUUUACUAUUAGUGAAGUUAACAAUCAAAUGAAUUUAGUGGCUAUUGAAGUAAAUGUGAAACAGUGUAAUUUUUUCCUACGCUACUUCUUGCUCUAAAGGAUUGUUAUCACCUGAAGUAAAGAUUAUGAGAAGACAUAAUUUAUUCAUGAAGAGCAGCUCUACUACAAUAAUGAAGAUAUGGAUCGGUGAAUUUGAUUAUAAAAUUUCAGCUUCAUUCUCAUAGACGAACAUUGGAAUACCUUCUAUAGAGUGAAGCCUUCAACGUUUCUUAUAGUGAAGCCUAUGUUCUGACUUCCGGAAUUUUAUUAGUGAAGUUAAUUAGUGCAAUUACAACAAGUGAUAAUUCAGUGGUUAGUGAAGUAAAUGUAUAACUGUUUGAACUUCAAGACGAAGGUUUGGCUACCCUACUUCAUGACUCAAAGGUUAGUGGAGAAGUCUUUUCCUUUCAAGUUUGAAUUCUUAUUUCAAAAUUAACUUUGAUUCUUUUAAAUAUCUAUUUCAAUCACUUCAUUCUGAUAGGAUUCAAGCAAAUAGUGAGGUCUGCGUUAUAAUGGCAGUAUUUGAUUAACAUUGGCGUUGCUAUCCUUGUCUAUCAUUCAACAAAGUAGAUGGAGCUAUCCUUUUCUAGCUCCACAACGUUCCCA